AGCACAAAAUAGACGCAAUAUUUUCAACACAAGAAUCAGUUCUUCCAUUUCUCUUGCUCCAACUCCAACUCCAACAACAACGAAUUCCAGGAUAAUAAACAGGAAUUGCACUGGAACAAAGAUUCAAUUGAUCAAGAUGUCACCUACAACUUCACGAGUAAUGUCACAGUCGUGGAAGGGAAGGAGUGUUAUUGAGAAUCUUGAUUGAUAGCCACGCUGAAAAGAUCAUAAUGGCAUACAUGGGAUGUGUGAAUUAUCAUUGCUUAGAGAAUAUGUCCUGUACCAUUAAAAUUUUACUGUUUAUCUCAUGUAUGUUUGUACAGCUAAUGAAUUGCAUCUGUGGAGUAUUUCUUGUUUAUGAAGUUGGUAGACUUCUAUGGAAUGUUCAAACUUGUCUGAUUUAACCAUGAAUUUGAUGUUGUUUUAUACUUAAAUUGUUGCUGAAAUGUAGCAACAAUUACACUACAUUAUUUCAAUGACACUCAAAAAAAUCUUGGAGGGAGAAAAUAAUGACGUUCACUAUAUUUUUUGUGUGU